rnacentral:rRNA from 1 species
GACGAACGCUGGCGGCGUGCUUAACACAUGCAAGUCGAACGGAAAGGCCCUGCUUUUGUGGGGUUCUCGUUUGCCGCACGGGUGUGUAACACGUGAGUAUCCUGCCCUUGUCUUUGGGAUAACUUCACGAAACUGGGGCUAAUACCGGAUAGGAUCUUCUGCUGCACGUUGGGCGUUGGAAAGUUUCGGCGGUUUGGGAUAGACUCGCUGCUUAUCCGCUUGUUAGUGGGGUAGUGGCUUACCAAGCGUUUGACGGGUAGGCGGCAUGGGAGGGGUAACGGGGUCUAUGGGACUGCGAGACGGAGCAGAAUGGAACGGGAGGCAGCAGUCGGGAGUAUUACACAAUAGGCGGAAGCGUGAGGCAGCGGCGCCGCGAGCGGAAUAACGGGCUUCGGGUUAAAAACAGAUUUCGCAGGUGACGAAGAGUGAGUGACGGUAAUGGGUAAAGAAGCACCGGCUAACUACGUG